rnacentral:lncRNA from 1 species
AUAGGACUUGGGUCUUCAUGCUCUGUCCUAUCAUUGCUGCUAUAAAAGGACUGCUAUGUUUCACAUCCCUGGAGAUAGGUUUUCUGUCACUUAGAGAGCUGUGCUGCAGAGUCAGAAAUUGGCUCCCCUUUCAUCCUUGACUCAUCAGUUUCCCUAAUGCCUCUGGCCUUAGAGCCAGGAGCCUGGACUUGACAUCUUACCCAGGAGUUCAACCUCAGUCAAGUCACUUAACUAGUCUGAAUCCUAAUUUCAUUGGUUUGCUGGCAAAUAUUUUAAAACUGGCUCUCAAGGGGUGGAGGGGGAGGGGUGCUGACUUACAGUUUUUGCUGAUUUCCUUGCUGUAAAUACUCCCACUGUGGCCAGUUUCAAGCUGCCAAGGUGAAGUCACUUAAUGGAAGUGUAGCUGGGAAGAAAUGUGCAGCAGCUCUCCUGAGCAGGUCCUGAUUGUUACCAACCGGGGUCCCUGGACUCUUUAAUCAAUAUAAAUUGAUAAGAGGCCAGAUGAGGAAUUCAGGGAAGGCUUUAGUGGGACUACUGCAGCAGGAGGGAGUAAAAACAAAUAAUAUUUGCCUGUGCUCUAUCCCCGAUGUGGCGGUGAGCUGGUUGCUUCAAUGAGGUGAGGGUAGGGGUGGGUCAGUGGGUUGGGCCAGAGGGGUGGCUUAGGUGGUCUGCCUCCCCCUUGGUGGUGCUGUGUGCAGGGAUCAUGGGGUCUGCUUUUGAUCCUGGCACCUCAGAAGUGGCAGUUGGUUUUUGGCCUUUUCUUAUUAUUGUUCAUAAUUUGCCUGAACUGUGCAUGCAUGCAGUUAUUUCCCAUAUAGUUUCUUGGUAUUGUGUUGCUGGAGGAGACAUUUCUCCAGGUGCAAGCUCUCCAGUAAAGAGUCCCAGGUCCCAGGUCCCAGGUCCCACCUGUCUCAUAAUGGCUCCAACACAACACUGUGUCUUCCUCAGUCAAGUGGGAACAACUUUUACUACACAUUCCACCUCAGAAUUGUUAUUUCUGACUUAAUUCAAUCACUCAUUCUUUUAAUAAGCACUUGUUUAUUGGGACUUUACCUGGGUUUAUAGGCACUCUGCUGAAUACAAGGGGAUGAAAGGAAGCGCUGUCAGGAGUUCUGCGGCUCAAAUAAAAUAAUGCACAUUAACAACAACAAAAAAAUCCCCACGUUUUUAAUCUGUAAAAUGCUAUACACACAAAUGCAGGGAUUGUUAACUUGAAUUAGGUUUAAUAAGUUAGGUUUACAAAGGACCUCAGAUCUUCUGUCCAAAAGGUCUUGUGUAUGGAGACCUAUUUUGUCCUAUUUAGUAUAAUGAAAUGUUGAAGAUCACAUAUCUAGAACAAUUUCAAUAAUUAUUUAUUUGUACUCCACCUACUUCCAAAAAGUAUUUGAAAUAGUUUUUGUGUUAAAAAAAAUUCGGAAUAUAAAACAAAUCCAAUGAUCACAGAGAUAGAAACUAAGAAGAGGAAGAAACAGAUGAAGUCUAGCCCCUGAGAAAAAUUCUCAAGUGUUAACCUCCUAAGAACCAGGGGAGUGUUUAUAUUCAUCAGAUUGUUAAAAUAACACUUAAAAAAAGUUGGUUUCAACAUGGUCCUUGUAUGGGUUUAUGGUGUUUUAUGUUGUUACCAUAUAUAGUUCUGGGAAUUUAUUAAGCAAUUAUGGAACACCUAAGCAAAGCAGAAGAAGGAUGGAAAACUAAGAACAUGUUUUCCAAAUUCUAAACCCUCAGGACUUAUUCGGUGCUGAAUGAAACAGGCCCCGGGGACUGUUCUCUGCCCUGUUGGCCGCAUCAGUCUCCAGUACCUUUCCCUGGGCUCCUGCAUCAAGUCUCACCUAAACCUGGCACCACAACCAUCUCUGGCAUCCAGGCUCCCCCUACCUCCCACCUCCCCACCCAGACCCUGCCCCAGCAGCCCUGCUCCCCCAAGGCCCCUUGUGUAACAGGACUCCUGGCCCCUGCUCAUGUCUUCUUCUUCCUGGAACACCCUCCUGUUUUCCUGCCAGUCCUCACCUCUUACAGAGAACAGUUCAGAUCUCACCUCCUCCAAGACCUCUCCAGUCCACACUGAUUCUUCCCCUUGCCGUCCUAUUGUGCCUGCAGUCACACAUUAACUGCUCAGUUAAUUGAGGCUGUAAAUGAACAGAAAGUCUUGUGACCAUUGCUUCUUGUGAAAAAUCAAAAGUAAGGUGCAACUAGAUCAAAGAUCACACUAUAAAUUUUUUUUAUAAACAGAUUUAUAGAAUAAAGAUGAUGUAAUCCCCACAAUUAGAUGUGCCGAAAGGCUCUGGUCUGUGAAGAAACCAAGGCUCAGGGCAAUUAGCGUAUUGCCAACAUUCUGCCCUCAGAAGAAAUUACCCCUCUCAGCUCUGCAUCAGCAGGCCCAGCCUCAGCUGUACGGGGUGCUGGAGGACUGGCCCUCUCAGGCCUUGGUUUUCUCGAGGACACUAAAGUGAGGACAGUGGAGCCUCCUCCCCAGGAUUGCCGUGAGGAGCAGGGAGUAACUCCGUAGAGGGCUCACUCAGGGCGGACCCCCAGGAAGCUCCUUCCAGAAGGUAACCUGCAGCUGUUGUACGCCCGGAGAUGCCACACCAGCUGGCAAUGCAGAUGGUGAUCCUCGGCUUCCCUCCCUGAGUGGCACCUGUGAGCAUGUUUUGGUACAGCGUUCACUUAGGGCCUUGUGUACCUCUGACAGCCCCAUCUUUACGGUCACCUGAACAUUAGAAGGCUGGGGCUUUCCCAGAGAUGCAGCGUUUGAUGCAAUCGCUACGUCAGAACCUUACGUGGAGGGGUGUGGUGCACAGUGAUUAGGAACAGACUGUCGGGUUUUUUGCAUUGGGUAGGAUCAUGGGAUCCCGAUGGGAGGGAGGUGUCUAAGACUAAAACAGAAAUAAUGAUCGAAUACACCCUUAAAAAAUUAUAAGACAAGGAGUUCCCAUUGUGGCUCAGCAGAUUAAGAACCUGACACUGUCUCUGGAGGAUGCAGGUUCAAUCUCUGGCCUCGCUCAGUGGGUUAAGGAUCCCAUGUUGCUGCAAACUGCAACGUAGGCCAGCAGCUGCCGCUCUGAUUCCACCCCUCGCUCCCAGGAACUUCCAUAUGUGGCUGUAAAAAAAUAAAGAAGAGGAGUUCCCGUCGUGGCGCAGUGGUUAACGAAUCCGACUAGGAACCAUGAGGUCGCGGGUUCGGUCCCUGCCUUUGCUCAGUGGGUUAAUGAUCCGGCGUUGCCGUGAGCUGUGGUGUAGGUUGCAGACGCGGCUCGGAUCCCGCGUUGCUGUGGCUCUGGCGUAGGCCGGUGGCUACAGCUCCGAUUAGACCCCUAGCCUGGGAACCUCCAUAUGCCGCGGAAGCAGCCCAAGAGAUAGCAACAACAACAAAAAGACAAAAUAAAUAAAUAAAUAAAGAAGAAAUUUUUAAAAAUUACAAGACAAAUGGAAAACUGGGGGAAAUAUUUACAUCAUGUAUGACAAAAGGGACAAAGAGUUAGUGUCCUUGAUGCAUAAUAAGCCCUUACAAAUUAACAAAUAAAAGAUAAACAAAGGACAUAGGAAGUUCACCAAAGUAGAAAUGGCUAAUAAGCAUAUGAAAAUACACUGAAUCUCUUCAGUUAUCAAAGAACUUCAAGUUCUAACAAUGAGAAAGAAUUGCUUUGUUUAUUCAAUUGACAAAGUUUUGUUUUAGUGUUUAUUUUUUGUUGUUGUUAAAUGGUAAUACCCUAGGUAGAAUAAAAUGAGAAUUUGACCUUGCUCUAAGGAGUCUUGGAAACCUGCAUCAACCCCUUAAUGUAUACAUAUAGUGUGACCAAGCAAGUCCAUGUCUAUAUUAUUGGAAAUAAUGCCCAAAGAUGCUUAUGAUUAUUAAAAUAGGUUGAAGUUUACAAACAACCUGGAGUUCCCGUCAUAGCUCAGCAGUAACGACUGACUAGUAUCCAUAAGGACACAUGUUCAAUCCCUGGCUUCGCUCAGUGGGUUAAGGAUUCAGCUUUGCCAUGAGACUCAGCUCGGAUCCCUCGUUCCUGUGGCUGUGGUGUAGGCCAGCAGCUACAGCUCCUAUUCCAUCCCUAGCCUAGGAACUUCCGUAUGCCAUGGGUGUGGCCCUAAAAAAAGAGACCAAAAAAAAGUCUACAAACAACCGAAUGUUCAUCAGUAGAGGAGACUAAAUCAAUUAGGUUUUUAUUUUUGGAGUUCCCUAGUAGCUCAGUGGGUUAAGGAUCCAGAAUUGUCACUGCUGUGGCUUGGUUUCCUGCUGUGGCGCUGGUUUCAUCCUUGGCCUGGGAACUUCUGCAUACUGUGGGCAAGGCCAAAAAACAAAAAAAAAAAACCACCACAUUUUAGAAGAAUUAUGAUAAUGUGACAUGGGAAACUGUUCAUGAUAUACUUUAGAGUGGGGAAACCAGGCUACAAAAUAAUACAGUAUGAUUCUAUAUAUGUGGGGAAAACCUCUGGGCUGUAUGUGUCAGGAAUUCUCUUUUACUCAGAAAAGACAGACAAAUUUGAGCAUAUUCUCAGACCUUUUAGCAUUGGCUGAAGGUUUGUGCAUGGUAGAUUUACUUGACAUGCUACUUUUUGCAUUUUCAGUGCAGCUCCUACGUAAAAUACUCGGUCUGCUGAGUUUUGCAUCUACUGACUCUUUGGAGGUAAAGCCAGGCAACCUAGAAGGAAGGUACUGGAUAUUAAAUACGGAUGUUUAUAGAUAACCAACUAUUACUGGUGCUUGUCUCUGGAUGAGGAGACGUGGCAAUUUUAUUUUCCUUAUCUUCACUGUCUAAAUUUUCAAAAACAUAUAUUCAAUAAUUUAUACUGAAAAAUUAAAUUUUAAAGGUAAUUUUGAGGAUAUCUAGUAGAGUGAGAAACAGUAUUUUCUUCCAGAUAGAAGUGUUUAAUGAGAAUUCAGAAGCAAGCUUAGAAAUAAUUACAUAUGUAUAAGUGUAUAUAUAAAAGACCAGAAGUAAAUAAGCCAAAAAUCUCUAUUGGGGUAACCACACUAGGAUUAUUAAUAGUAAAAUUAUGAAAGUAACAUUCCCUCUCUAUACUAAUAAUAUGUUAUAUAAUAUAAUCUAUUAAAUAUAUUUAUACAUGUAUAUGUAAUAUGUAUGGAAUAUAUUUAAUAUAGUAUGUAUAUAUACACAUAUAAAGAUCAAGUGUGUGUGUAUAUAUAUAUACACACACAUACAUAUACAUAUAUAUGUUAAUAUAUAUAUAUAUACACACACACACACACAUAUAUAUUCCUCCAAGGGAAACUUGACCACAUCAAAUUUUCCCUUGGAGCAAAGGGUGACCACUUUAACAUGAAACUGACCCCCAGAUUACAUGCAAAUAUAUGCCUUAGCAGAGAGGAUUUUUAAAUUUAUUUUUUUUUUUUGUCUUUUUAGGGUCACACCCACAGCAUAUGGAGGUUCCCAGGCUAGGGGUCCAAUCAGAGCUCUAGCUGCUGCCCUACGCCACAGCCACAGCAAUGCCAGAUCUGAGCUGUGUCUGCGACCUACAACACAGCUCACGGCAAAGCCGGAUCCUUAACCCACGAGCGAGGCCAGGGAUUGAACCCGAAACCUCAUGGCUCCUACUUGGAUUCCUUUCUCCUGCUCCAUGAUGGGAACUCCAAGAUAAUUUUUUUAAACAAUUCCUAUUCAGAAUAUUCAGGUUAUGACUAGUGGAAAAACUCAACACAUUCAACAUCUUAGGAGCAGUAUCUACGGCUCUUCCAUGCUCAGAACGUGUUGUGGGGACCCCCUGAAAUGGCUUCGGCUGUGUUCCAAUAAAAUUUUAUUCACUGACAUCGGAAUUUGAGUUUCAUAUAAUUUUUGUGUCAUGAAAUAGUAGUUUUCUGGGUUUUUCUUCCAAUAUUUAAAAAUGUAAACACCAUUCUUACCUUGUGGAUCAUACAAAAGGGGUUCUGUAGGCCUUUGGGAGAAGUUUGCUUUGGGGGAUGUGGUGAGACAUUAGAGGAUUUUGAGCAGAGAAAUGCCAUGAUCUGACUUAGGCUUUAAAAUUAUGAAGCCCAAUUUAACCUGGUUUUGUAAUAGGAAGUAGUUGAACUUGAACAGAUGAAUUCAUAAAUGAAACACCGAGGGAAAAUUCCUUUCUGAUCCUUACUUUUUCUUCCAGCUGUGUGAGCUUAAUUAGUUUUUAGCUUAAAACUAAAGACUGUCUAUAUGUAUCUCUAU